CUUUCUUUUACAUAAUAUAUCAAACAACACUUAAGAAUCCUCUUUUCUAACACUUUGAUGGCAAAAACGAGUUCUUAAUAUGCCGGAUCUAAAAAGUAAUUUUGACGCGUCUGAUUGGAUCAACGGUGUAUUUGACCGAAUUAGCGGUGGUAUGUCUGAUCGGAUUAGCGAUGGCGCGUUUGACCAACUUAGCGGCCGACAGUUUUUCUGGAUAGGUCGAACUCUUGGAAGAAAAUAGAAAAGGAAGACCGAGUGGGAUCAAAGAAACUAGCGGGCUGAUCACUAAAAAAAUACAAAUAGGUGCAAAUUCUGACAUCACCACAGAAAACUUGGUUCUUUCACUCCUUGCUGGCGGAGUAAUUUCACCAGCACUUCAUCUGGCUAUGUUAUCACCAACGAUUACCUACAAGCUCAUCUCUUAAGCAUAUAGGCUUAGAGGUUGACCCUCUACGUAAAGACUUCAAUCAGCAUGAAACCAUCAAAAAUAUCUUUAUGGAGUGCUCUCGCACACUAGACUUAUGGGAUAGGACGAAUAUGCUAACUCAUAUUGAGCCUCUACAUUUAUCUGGAUAUUGAAGAAUAGCUGAAAUGGACAUGGAAAAUGAUAGAGUUAUCUUACGCAGAGAUCUUCUGAGGGAGUUGGGGAACUCAAUGAUUCUCCAUGAAGGAAGGAAGCUUAAUGGAGUUGCAGACUUGCUAACUAAGGAGGGCCGGAAGAAGAAAACUAAGCCCCUUUUUGACGUAUGGACACUAGUUUUACUUUUGUUUAUUCAUAAAAUGCUUAGAAUAGACAAGGAAGCAACUUAUUUUGCAGGACAAUAUAUACCCGUAGUGUCUGAAUUAUAUAAUAAUAGCAGUAGGCUAAGACUAUCUUCGGAUAGUAUCACUAACGCAACUGUUGUAUGAUAAAUUCUCUUUCUACCAAAAAAAAUUAUGUCUUAUAA